GUCUCCGAGCCUCAGCCUCAGGCCCGACGGAGACGAGAGGGGCGGGGCGAGAGAGGGCGAGGCCGCGGGCGCGCUCCCUGCGGCCGCCUGAUAGGGUGCGCGGCGGCACGAGCACGCCCCGCGCGGGUGGCGCUGCGUAGUAACUGCGCAGGCGCGGUCGGCUGGCGUAGCCCCUUCACCCCCUUCUCCCUCCCGGGCUCGCCCUGCCCGCUGCGAGGAGGAUGCCCCGGGCUGUGUGUCACCGGGUGUCGAGCUGCUUUUGGCGCGGCGGCCGGCUUGGUGGCCCUGGGUUCCUGUGUAGCUGAACCUCGUAAACGCGGCGCCUCGGUCAUUUAAUACUUGGCUGACACGCAGCGCAUCCUGGCGUGCCCUCCGUGGUGGGCUAGUCGUGACAGGGGGAACGUUAAAGCUACAUCCCGUUUGACUUAAGGAGCAGGAGUUGGCGUUCGAGAGCUUUGACAUGGAAAAGCUGGCCACGCUGCUCUGGCUGGCAUGAUGUCAUCCUCCAGGGCGAGGCGUGGAAGGCUGAGGGACACCCGGGCGCCGGGAGAACCCGCCCACCACGUGGAACCUUCGGCGCGGUGCUGUCCAUGGAGAACCCGCUCCGGGCCUGGGCGUCCACUUAGAAUACGGAGAGCCCAAGGGCGCUGUACCGAGCAGGCAGGUCCCCUCCCUCCCGCCAAAAUCGAGCCGCCGGUGUCCAAAACUGGAGCAUAGCGAAGCCAACCCCAACCCCACACGGUCUCUUCUUGCACUUUCUUUCCAUACGCCUUACAUCCUUCCUCUCUCCCAUCAGUCUUAUUUAUAACGACUACCCUUUACUCUUCCUCCUUUCUGUAAUUUAAAUAUUCAUGCUCCAGCCCAGGCCGGCGUGGCUCAGUGGUUGGGCCUGGACCUAUGAACCAGGAGGUCAGGGUUGGAUUCCUGGUCAGGGCACAUGCCCGAGGUGUGGGCUUGAUCGCUUGUGGGGCGUGCAGGAGGCAGCCGACCAAUGAUUCUCUUAUCAUUCAUGUUUCUCUCUCCUCCCUUCCUCUCUGAAAUCAAUCAAUCAAUCAAUCAAUCAAUCGUCACUCCUGCCCUACCAGUAUCCGUGUGCUUCAUGGCUCCAAAGCACAGCUAGGAUGGCAGAGUAGUUGAACCUGGGCUGGUUCCACCUGACACAGGGGAAAACGAAGACAUCUGAUAGCAAGAAACGAAAACGCACAGCUGGCUGGCUCAUAGUUCCAAUCUUCAGCAUCAACUCUCAGGACCUGCUUUAUAAGAAAUCUCUGCCUCAAGAGGCCUGUCCAGCCUCUGUGAAUACUGCUUGUGAGCCUCCUGAUGCCAAAGAGACUGACUUCUGCCCAGCCAGCGUGGCUCAGUGGUUGAGCAUCAACCUAUGAGCCAGGAGGUCACAGUUUGAUUCCUGGUCAGGGCAUAUGCCCAGGAUGUGGGCUCAAUCCCCAAUGUG